rnacentral:rRNA from 1 species
AGAUGGCGACCGGCGCACGGGUGAGUAACACGUAUCCAACCUGCCGAUAACUCGGGGAUAGCCUUUCGAAAGAAAGAUUAAUACCCGAUGGUAUAAUCAGACCGCAUGGUCUUGUUAUUAAAGAAUUUCGGUUAUCGAUGGGGAUGCGUUCCAUUAGGCAGUUGGUGAGGUAACGGCUCACCAAACCUUCGAUGGACAGGGGUUCUGAGAGGAAGGUCCCCCACAUUGGAACUGAGACACGGUCCAA